rnacentral:lncRNA from 1 species
GACAUUAGUAAAAAUAAGUCUCACGGCUAGACAAACUGUCAUAUACAAGCAUGAACUGGUAUCCAGAACAUAAUAUUUAAAUAAUGUUUCUGAAGACUGCACACAGUUUUGUUCAAUUUAUGUAAAGCUCAAACACCUGCAAAACUAAACAGGAUAAACUCUAUAGAUACAAUUAGGUUAAAAAAAUAUGACGAGGCUGGGCUCUGUGGCUCUUGCCUAUAACCCCAACACUUUGGGAGGCUGAGGUGGGUGGACCACUUGAGGCCGGGAAUUGCAGAUCAGUCUAGCCAACACGGCAAAAUCUUGUCUCUACUAAAAAUAUAAAAGCUAGCCAGGCAUGCUGUGACACACCAGUAAUCCCAGCUGAGGCAUGAGAAUUGCUUGAACCCAGGAGGCGGAGUUUGCAGUGAGCUGAGAUCAUACAACUGCACUUCAACUUGGGCGACAGAGCAAGACUCUGUGUCAAAAAAAAAAAAACCCUUAAAAAACAAAGCAAAAAAAGCCCAAACCAAAGCAAACCAAAAACAAAACAAAACAAAAACCCAACUAUGAUGAUAAACAAGUAAAACAGCAACCACACAAAACCUUUGUGGAGAAGAGAGAAAAGGGGAUAAAGGAAGACCACAUAGAGAAUUUCAAAGAUACUAAAUUUAUCUAGAGCAGACUUUGGCUCCAAACUCAGAACAGAUGGAGAGAGACAUGCUGUCUAAGAAAAGCAGAAAUGACAAAAUUGCAUUCCGGUUUGAAUGUUCUUCAUUAAGAGUGUUUAUUGUGUUAAUGCUGUGACUACAUCAUCCUACUCCAAGGAAGAGAAGAAUUUCCCAAGGGGAGAAAAGACAAGAAACCAGACUUCCCUUUCAAAGAGUUAGCUUCACACAGACUAGAGUCAUGGAGAAAUGGGAUUGAAAAUGAAACGGUGGGAAUUGGAAUUCCUAAAUUUCAACAUUACUUACCUUUUUUGGGAAGGGCACACUGUGGGGUGCAGAAUGACUGGUGUUCCAAAAUUCUAACCCCACUCGGUAGAGGUGGCUUCUUGCUGGUGGAUUCCGGGUUCUCAGAUCAGAUAAUACCCUGGAAGUCCAACUUCUCUCCCCAGACAGUGUCAACUUUGUAUCCACACAUCAUUUAGGGACUGUUUGAUUAUAUUGAGUUAGUAUGACAUUAAUAAUAAGCUGUUGAAAAGAAUUAAGAAGUAGAAUCAAAAGAUUUCUUUAUUUCUUAUUCUAAAUAUAUGAUUCUAUCCAAAGAUUUGUGUAUCUUACUGAUAUCUAAUUCCAUGUAAACUAGGAAUGGGUGCAUUUCAUUUCAUGAUUCAAGUAAUAUUUUUAGUGAUACUAUCUCAUAUAGAGCACACUAUGGAGCUGGGUGCAGUGGCUCACACCUGUAAUCCCAGUACUUUGGGAGAAUGAGGCAGGUAGAUCACAAGGUCAGAAGAAUGAGACCAGCCUGGCCAAAAUGGUGAAACUCCAUCUCUACUGAAAAAAAUUAGCCAGGCGUGGUCAUGUGUGCCUGUAAUCCCAGCUGCUUGGGAGGCUGAGGCAGGAGACUCACUUGAACCUGGGAGGCAGAGAUUGCAGUGAGUGGAGAUUGUGCCACUGCACUACAAUCUGGGUGACAGAGCUGUCUCGAAAAAAA